rnacentral:tRNA from 1 species
UGCAUUGUGGCUCAAUGGUUAGAGCGUUAUACUUCUGAUGCAUUGUACUGUUGGCUUUACUUGGAGGCCAUGAAUAAUUAUCAAUGCAA